rnacentral:rRNA from 1 species
CCUACGGGUGGCUGCAGUGAGGAAUAUUGGUCAAUGGGCGCGAGCCUGAACCAGCCAAGUCGCGUGAAGGAUGACUGCCCUACGGGUUGUAAACUUCUUUUGUAAGGGAAUAAAGUGAGGCACGUGUGCAUUUUUGUAUGUACCUUAUGAAUAAGGGUCGGCUAACUCCGUGCCAGCAGCCGCGGUAAUACGGAGGAUCCGAGCGUUAUCCGGAUUUAUUGGGUUUAAAGGGAGCGUAGGUGGGUUGUUAAGUCAGGUGUGAAAGUUUGCGGCUCAACCGUAAAAUUGCAAUUGAUACUGGCAGCCUUGAGUACAGUUGAGGUAGGCGGAAUUCGUGGUGUAGCGGUGAAAUGCUUAGAUAUCACGAAGAACUCCGAUUGCGAAGGCAGCCUACUAAGCUGCCACUGACGUUGAUGCUCGAAAGUGUGGGUAUCAAACAGGAUUAGAUACCCGUGUAGUC